ACUUCUUCCUGCCCAGGACUCCCUGUAAUGUGAAGGUGUCUGUUAGGGCACCUUCCCCUUUGAGCUCCGCCUCAGAAACUGAGACAGGAGGCUAGUGCUCAGAACAGGAAAAUGACCAGCUGGAUCAGUGGUGAGAGACUGGAGUGUAAACAGGGCUGGGACAAAGAGAAGGUCACCCUUAAGUGGGUCAGGAGACCCAGUGGAUGGAGUGGGCCUGGACAGCUCUCCCGGAGGCCUGGCCCUGCCACACCCUCUCCAGGGCCAGGGUGACUCAGCACUUCCCAUCACUACAAAGGCCAAGCCCAGGAGGCCCUACCCAGGCUGACGGCUGCGAAACCACACUGUUCUCCUUCUGGCCCCCGGAACAUUCUCUGUCCGUACAGUAAAAGGUUGUUCCAGACCGGAUGGGUGCAGCUCAUCCCAAUAUUUGAUGGUGCCAAUACUAUGGGACCAACGGGAGACUCUGUGUACGUCUCAGAAGCUGACAGUGAGCCCUGACUGUUCUGGAACUCACUUUGUAAACCAGGCUGGCGAUUAAAGGUGUGUAUCACUACUGCUUGGAAAUGUAUUAUAUGGGUACAGCGCAUGACCACCAGGCAGAAAGCCCUGGGUUUUAUCCCCAGAACUGUGGAUGAGGAGGGAGGCAGGCCCCAAAAGUCAGGCUCAGAGCAUGUUCUUUUGUCUCCAUGUGAGCCAAGACCUUUGGAUUUCAGGUGUAGACACCAGGGACACAAUGGAGCCUCUGUCCACUGCCGCUGCAACCUUUCUGGUAUCCAUGCUUUGUGCCCGCAACUUGUUCUUCCAAAGUACACAAAGUAAAGCAACCCUUUAAUGUUUCUCUGCAAAUCAAAUCUUUGAAUAGGCCACGUGUGAU